rnacentral:lncRNA from 1 species
AUGCAGUACACACUUCUACAGGGUACACACUUCCACAGGGUACACACCUCCACAGGGUACAUGUCUCCACAGAGUACACACCUCCACAGGAUCCACACCUUUACAGGGUGCACACCUUCACAAGGUACAUGCCUCCACAGGAUCCAUACCUCCACAGGUACACACCUCCACAGGGUACACACCUCCACAGGAUCCAUACCUCCACAGGGUACACACCUCCACAGGGUAGACACCUCCACAGGGUAUAGGGUACACACCUCCACAGGAUUCAUACCUCCACAGGAUACACACCUCCACAGGGUAGACACCUCCACAGAAUAUACACCUCCACAGGGUACACACCUCCACAGGAUGCACACCUCCACAGGAUACACACCUCCACAGGGUACACACCUCCAAAGGAUACACACUUCUACAGGAUCCAUACUGCCACAGGGUACACACCUCCACAGGGUACACACCUCCACAGGGUACACACCUCCAAAGGAUACACACUUCUACAGGAUCCAUACCUCCACAGGUUACAUACCUCCACAGCGUACAGGGUACACACCUCCACAAGGUACAGGGUACACACCUCCACAGAAUACACACCUCCACGGGAUCCAUACCUCCACAGAGACACACCUCCACAGGGUAGACACCUCCACAGGGUACACUCCUCCACAGGAUAGACACCUCUACAGGAUCCAUACCUUCACAGGGUACACACCUCCACAGGAUACACACCUCCACAGGAUCCAUAACUCCACAGGGUACACACCUCCACAGAGUACACAUCUCCACAGGGUACACACCUCCACACGGUACACCCCUCCACAGGAUACACACUUCCACAGGAUACACACCUCCACAGGAUCCAUACCUCCACAGGGUACACACCUCCACAGGGUACACACCUCCACAGGAUUCAUACAUCCACAGGAUACACACCUCCAUAAGGUACACACCUCCACAGGAUCGAUACCUCCACAGGGUACACACCUCCACAGGAUGCACACCUCCAUAAGGUACACACCUCCACACGGUACACACCUCCACAGGAUACACACUUCCACAGGAUACACACCUCCACAGGAUACACACCUCCACAGGAUCCAUACCUCCAUAGGGUACACACCUCCACAGGGUACACACCUCCACAGGAUACACACCUCCACAGGGUACACACCUCCACAGGAUCCAUACCUCCACAGGGUACACACCUCCGCAGGAUAUACACCUCCACAGGAUCCAUACCUCCACAGAGUACACACCUCCACAGAGUAUACAUCUCCACAGGAUACACACUUCCACAGGAUACACACCUCCACAGGAUCCAUACCUCCAUAGGGUACACACCUCCACAGGGUACACAUCUCCACAGGAUAUACACUUCCACAGGAUCCAUACCUCCGUAAGGUACACACCUCCACAGGGUACACAUCUCCACAGGAUACACACUUCCACAGGAUCCAUACCUCCAUAGGGUACACACCUCCACAGGGUACACAUCUCCACAGGAUACACACUUCCACAGGAUACACACCUCCACAGGGUACACACCUCCACAGGGUACACACCUCCACAGGAUACACACCUCCACAGGGUACACACUUCCACAGGGUACACACCUCCACAGGGUACACACUUCCACAGGAUACACACCUCCACAGGGUACACACUUCCACAGGGUACACGCCUCCACAGGGUACACGCCUCCACAGGGUACAUGCCUCCACAGGGUACAUGCCUCCACAGGGUACACUCUUCCACCAGGUACACACCUCCGCAGGAUUAGCCUCAGCAUCUUUAGAUACUAGUGGUCCCAGGGGCUCAUUUGACUUAUAAAGGGACUGAAGUACAGAAAGGGGAUGUGAGUUAUCCAACGUCACACAGCCAGCAGUGUCCCCUGGCCCCUACGCCUAAACAGCCUCAUCUGCCUGAGUCCUAAGGAGCCAAGAGAAGGCUCUCUGCUAGGUGGGGAGAUGUUGAUGGGUAGAGGGGGCGCAGGCCGGCUGUUUGUGAGAAGGGCACAGAGCAGGAAUGCAGUAACGAUGAGUGUGGAUCCUUGAUGAUUAUUGAUCCUGUUGUCAGGCUUUCUAAGGAAUUUCCCACUCGCCAUCCCCUCUACUCAUGUCAAAGGGCCAUUUCUUUCUUCUCUCUGAUGCCAGGGCAGAUCAAGUCCACCUCUUCCAUUCCCACUCCCCAAGGAUCAUGGCAGGCAGAAGGUGGCCAGAAAGUCCAGAUGCUGAAAGGUCUUUGGUCAAGGUUUUGCCAGGGGUGCACCCUGGAGAGGCAGUGUCUGGGGGUAUGGUCGUGGCUCUCAAGACCUGAGAGUCAGAUGUGGUUUUCCAUCAGCUGCGUAGCCCUGCGCAGGUCAUUUCUUCUCUCUGGGUCUCAAUUUUCUCCCCUAAAAAAUGGGCUUAAUGACCUUGCUCCCCUGCCAGUGGUGUGUUGGUAAAUGCUAACCAGUCAGCUUUCAAAAGUAAAUAAAUCAUAAUGUUUAAAAAGGCUCUGAUUUGUAGGAUUUGCUAAUUUCCAUGGGCAAAUACUCCCACUGUGGCUGAUCUCCACCAAUUUCACUGGACAUGGAGUUGGGAAGAAAUGGGCACAAUUGACUCUCAUGAGCUCCUACCAACUGGCUCUGCACACCACUGCCCCCUAUCCUCCGGGGCAAAGGGAGGAUAACAUGAGACAAGAGAUACAAAAGUGCAGAGAGGCUAGGCGCGGUAAUCUCCGCACUUUGGGAUGCUGAGGCGGGAGGAUCACUUGAGCCCAGGAGGUCGAGGCUGCAGUGAGUGAUGGUCAUGCCACUGCACUCCAGCCUGGGCAACAGCAAGCCCUUGUAUCAAAAAAAAAAAAAAAAAAGUGCAGAGGAAACUUUAGAGUGCACUGCAGAUGUGGAGCUGCGACGAAGGGACGCCAGGGCAGUCUGCCAGUGAGAGCCUCGGCCAGGAAGCAGGUGGCUGUGGAUUGUGGUUUGUGGGUACCCAUAUUAAGGGGCAGGUCAUGAGAGUGAUCUGGAGGAGCUCCUGGAAUCUGAGAAAGCAGGAGAGUUGACUGGGCCUCCUGUGCUGGAAUUUGCUGAUACUUGCACACACAUUCUAUCCAGUUCCAGUGCUCCCUGAAACUGGAACAGGCAGGAUAAAGAUUAGACUUCUAUGAAAGAUCUCUUCCGAAUGCAGAUGUCAGCCCCAGGACACUGGGGCCAGCAGAGAGACCUCCCGAGAGAUCCAAAACAACAGAGUCAACCCCCUUCCUCUCCAUGUAAGUCCCCAGGAGUUUCUACAGACACUAGCUCUACCACAUGGGAAUGGCGGAAAUGACCUCUGAG